GGAGUCUGGGCCGUGUCUCAGUCCCAAUGUGGCCGUUCACCCUCUCAGGCCGGCUACCGAUCGUCGCCUUGGUGGGCCUCUAUCUCACCAACUAGCUAAUCGGACGCGGGCCCAUCGGAAAGCGGAUUGAUUCCUUUAGUACAAGAAGCAUGCGCCUCUCGUACAACAUUCGGUAUUAGCACCCCUUUCGGGAUGUUGUCCCCAUCUUUCCGGCAGGUUGCCCACGCGUUACUCACCCGUUUGCCACUAGGCUUUAAAAAGCAAGCUUUCUAUCGCCCCGUUCGACUUGCAUGUGUUAAGCACGCCGCCAG
rnacentral:rRNA from 1 species